GUCGGCAUAAGCCUAACCGGUAAGGCAGCGGUUUGCUAAACCGUGAGUAACCGCUAUUGUGGUGUCCCGGUUCGAGUCCGGGUGCCGACGCCA
rnacentral:tRNA from 1 species